GAUGAACGCUGGCGGCGUGCCUAAUACAUGCAAGUCGAGCGAACAGACGAGGAGCUUGCUCCUCUGACGUUAGCGGCGGACGGGUGAGUAACACGUGGAUAACCUACCUAUAAGACUGGGAUAACUUCGGGAAACCGGAGCUAAUACCGGAUAAUAUAUUGAACCGCAUGGUUCAAUAGCGAAAGACGGUUUUGCUGUCACUUAUAGAUGGAUCCGCGCCGCAUUAGCUAGUUGGUAAGGUAACGGCUUACCAAGGCAACGAUGCGUAGCCGACCUGAGAGGGUGAUCGGCCACACUGGAACUGAGACACGGUCCAGACUCCUACGGGAGGCAGCAGUAGGGAAUCUUCCGCGAUGGGCGAAAGCCUGACGGAGCAACGCCGCGUGAGUGAUGAAGGUCUUCGGAUCGUAAAACUCUGUUAUUAGGGAAGAACAAAUGUGUAAGUAACUAUGCACGUCUUGACGGUACCUAAUCAGAAAGCCACGGCUAACUACGU
rnacentral:rRNA from 1 species